rnacentral:rRNA from 1 species
CAUGCAGUCGAGGGGUAGUCUAGCAAUAGAUGAGACCGGCGCACGGGUGCGUAACGCGUAUGCAACCUACCUUUUACAGGGGAAUAGCCCAGAGAAAUUUGGAUUAAUGCCCCAUGGUAUAAUUGAAUGGCAUCAUUUAAUUAUUAAAGUUCCAACGGUAAAAGAUGGGCAUGCGUCCUAUUAGCUAGAUGGUAAGGUAACGGCUUACCAUGGCUACGAUAGGUAGGGGUCCUGAGAGGGAGAUCCCCCACACUGGUACUGAGACACGGACCAGACUCCUACGGGAGGCAGCAGUGAGGAAUAUUGGACAAUGGGCGCAAGCCUGAUCCAGCCAUGCCGCGUGCAGGAAGACGCAUCUAUGGUGUGUAAACUGCUUUUGUACGGGAAGAAACACUCCUUCGUGAAGGAGCUUGACGGUACCGUAAGAAUAAGGAUCGGCUAACUCCGUGCCAGCAGCCGCGGUAAUACGGAGGAUCCAAGCGUUAUCCGGAAUCAUUGGGUUUAAAGGGUCCGUAGGCGGUUUAGUAAGUCGGUGGUGAAAGCCCAUCGCUCAGCGAUGGAACGGCCAUUGAUACUGCUAGACUUGAAUUACUAGGAAGUAACUAGAAUAUGUAGUGUAGCGGUGAAAUGCUUAGAUAUUUCAUGGAAUACCAAUUGCGAAGGCAGGUUACUACUAGUGGAUUGACGCUGAUGGA